AGUCCGAACGGGGUUCGCAAGACCCAGUGGCGGACGGGUGAGUAACGCGUAGGCAAUCUGCCCCUCAGUGGGGGACACCCAGCCGAAAGGUUGGCUAAUACCGCAUACGCUGGUCGGUUGAAAUACCGGUCAGGAAAGGUUUACUGCUGAGGGAUGAGCCUGCGUCCGAUUAGCUAGUUGGUAGGGUAACGGCCUACCAAGGCGACGAUCGGUAGCUGGUCUGAGAGGACGAUCAGCCACACUGGAACUGAGACACGGUCCAGACUCCUACGGGAGGCGGCAGUGGGGAAUUUUCCGCAAUGGGCGCAAGCCUGACGGAGCAACGCCGCGUGGGUGACGAAGGAUUUCGGUCUGUAAAGCCCUUUCAGUCGGGACGAGUCGCAGACGGUACCGACAGAAGAAGCAUCGGCUAACUACGUGCCAGCAGCCGCGGUAAGACGUAGGAUGCGAGCGUUGUCCGGAAUUAUUGGGCGUAAAGCGUACGUAGGAGGUCAUCUAAGUCUGGGGUUAAAGACCAAGGCUCAACCUUGGGAGUGCCCUGGAUACUGGGUGACUGGAGGACGGCAGAGGAAAGUGGAAUUCCCAGUGUAGCGGUGAAAUGCGUAGAUAUUGGGAGGGAACACCAGUGGCGAAAGCGACUUUCUGGGCCGUUCCUGACGCUGAGGUACGAAAGCCAGGGGAGCAAACGGGAUUAGAUACC
rnacentral:rRNA from 1 species